UUCGAAUCCUGCACGACCCACCAAUUUCAGCAUUUAACUCAGAUGCUGAACGUGAAGGAUAACGUUGCGACAGCAACGGCCCGAAGGGCGAGGCGAAGUCGAGUCAUCCUGCACGACUCACCA
rnacentral:sRNA from 1 species